rnacentral:rRNA from 1 species
GGCUUAUUGAUAAAAGAUUUUAGGUCUAGCCUGCCCCCUGAUGUAUUUAAAUGGCCGCAGUAUUUUGACUGUGCUAAGGUAGCAUAAUAAUUAGUUUUUUAAUUGAAAGCUAGAAUGAAUGGUAUUAUGAAAAAAUUACUGUCUCUUUUAAAAAAUUAAAAUUUUAUUUUUAAGUUAAAAAGCUUAAAUAUAGUUAAAAGACGAGAAGACCCUAUAGAAUUUUAUUUAAAUUAAUUUUUAAUUGGUUAGUAUAUAGAAUUUAAAAAUAAAUUUAUAUUUAGUUGGGGUGAUUAGAAAAAUUAAGUAUCUUUUUUUUAUACUAACAUUAAUUUAUGGGUUUAUGAUUCACAUUAGUGAUUUAAGAGUAAAUUACCUUAGGGAUAACAGCGUAAUUUUUUUUUAGAGUUCUAAUCGAAAAAAAAGAUUGCGACCUCGAUGUUGGAUUAAAAUUUAUUUUUGGUGUAGUCGCUAAAGUAUUAAGUCUGUUCGACUUUGAAAAUUUUACA